GAUGAACGCUGGCGGCGUGCCUAAUACAUGCAAGUCGAGCGAAUGGAUUAAGAGCUUGCUCUUAUGAAGUUAGCGGCGGACGGGUGAGUAACACGUGGGUAACCUGCCCAUAAGACUGGGAUAACUCCGGGAAACCGGGGCUAAUACCGGAUAACAUUUUGAACCGCAUGGUUCGAAAUUGAAAGGCGGCUUCGGCUCUCACUUAUGGAUGGACCCGCGUCGCAUUAGCUAGUUGGUGAGGUAACGGCUCACCAAGGCAACGAUGCGUAGCCGACCUGAGAGGGUGAGCGGCCACACUGGGACUGAGACACGGCCCAGACUCCUACGGGAGGCAGCAGUAGGGAAUCUUCCGCAAUGGACGAAAGUCUGACGGAGCAACACCGCGUGAGUGAUGAAGGCUUUCGGGUCGUAAAACUCUGUUGUUAGGGAAGAACAAGUGCUAGUUGAAUAAGCUGGCACCUUGACGGUACCUAACCAGAAAGCCACGGCUAACUACGUGCCAGCCGCCGCCGUAA
rnacentral:rRNA from 1 species